rnacentral:lncRNA from 1 species
GGUGGUGUGGGAUAUUCGACGAAGACAACAAAAAGUUGAUAUUUUUCGAUUUUUUUAAUCAAUAUUUAAGUUAGCACCUCAUUUGAUUUUUCGGUAAUUACUUUAUACUCGUUAACUUUUUUAAAAAACUAGUAUUCUUGCCGUCGCGUUGCGGCGUGUUAAAACAAAUAGAACAUGUACACAACGGAGGCUUUAACAUCCGAAAAAUGCAAAGCUUAAUCUACAAGGGAUAGCAGCAGCCCAUUAAGUCAAGUCUGGCAGAGGUCCUGUGAGGGAAGGAUAAUUUUCGCCAUGGCUUUUUGGCAUCUUUUUCUAAUUCACCUGCCGUCUGCCAGAUUGAAAUAUGCAAGCAUCAAUUAGUAACAGUUUUUUUCUUUCAUGUGCAAGUGAAAUAACAAAAAACCCAUCAACCAUUCCCUAAUCUAGAUUCCAAAAACACAUCUUUAACACCAAUAUAUUAUAACAAUCAAGUGAACCCAGAUGAUGAUUACCUGCAUAUUUAUUUCAACAGCAACUGAACCCACCUUUAAUCUCUUUCAUUGAACCCAGAUGAUUGCCUGCCACAUCAACAAAGAAUAUGCAUUUUUGUUCAAUGAAGAUGACUCAUCAUAUAAAACUGAUCAUUUAACUCGUUCAACGAAGAUGACCCGUUUAAUAGUUUUUGGUUAUGUGUGUAUAAUCUAAAACUUAUCACGCCUUUUCUUAUUACCAUUACCCUUACAUACCACAAGUCCCCAACAACAUUUUUGUAAGUAACAUCAAAAAUUUGAACCUUGGGUGUUGAAAACUAAAUAUAUUAUGUAGUGGUAGUUGCUGAAUAAAAAAGUAAGGAACUUACAAAUGAGAUCAUAACAAAUUGUAUUCCAAAAGAAAAUAGACAACGACAAAUGACAAAACUGCAUAAUUCCAGUAUUUUGAAGCUCCUGAUCGAUGAGCCAGUAUUCAUGCAUAUCCCAGUUUGUCCUCUCACUUUUUGGGGCACAACCGCUAUCAUACACUAAACUUUUCUUCUUCCCAACCUAUCGAGACCUAUGGUGAACCACUCAAUCCUUUCCAGUAGUCUUCCAAUACCUCCAUUCCCAUACUUCUUGUCAAGGACACUAAAAAAUACCAUUCCAAACCUCUGCUCUUUUGACUUAGACAAACCUAAAACAACCAAAGAUGACACACUAUAGCAUAACUCAUUCACAAAUCACAUGUUCUCAUAUAUCAUGAUCUAUAUGUAUCACAAUUAACAAUCAGAUAGUCAAUUUCAUAACAACAUGAUCCUUAAACUAUAGAAUCCAUAACAACAUUGAUCAUUGAUCAUAACACUUACAAGGAGCGUUGUAGCUUUAUUCGUCACCGUCGGAAUUGAUUUAAGUACGUCAUAAGCUUCCUAAUCCAUACUCAUUUCCAUAGUAAAGCACUUUGACAAUACCUCUGUUGUUAAAAGCGAUCGCCCAGUGCGCCUAGGCGAUCUGGGCGAGCAAGGCGACCUUGGACCGCUUUUGUCUCCUAGAUAAAAAAGCAACGUUCUUUUUUUUUUUUUUUUUAAAAAAAACCCUAUCUUUAAAAACAAACUAGAUUUUAUUUACAGCUAAUUUUAAAUAUUUUAGAAUCAUAUCUCAUCAAAUAUGUAUAUAUUUUUUAAAGAUAUUUUAAAUUUCAAAAACUUAAGAGAUAUAUUAUCUUAAUAUAAUAGAUAACUCGUAUACACAGCCACAGCAUUCACAGUUCUGUUUUUUCUGGCGGUAAAAAAAUACUACAGGUAUGUGAUUCUGUUAAAGAAUUAUUUAUUCUUUCAUCAUUCAGUUACAUAUUGAUCCAUGGGAACUAUGCUACAGGCGAUGGUUUAUGAUAUUUGA